rnacentral:rRNA from 1 species
CAGAGGGUGCAAGCGUUGUUCGGAAUUACUGGGCGUAAAGCGCGCGCAGGCGGGUCCUGUAAGUCGGAAGUGAAAUUUCGGAGCUCAACUCCGAAGCUGCUUCUGAUACUGCGGAUCUAGGGACUGGUAGAGGCUGGUAGAAUUACAGGUGUAGCGGUGGAAUGCGUAGAUAUCUGUAAGAAUACCCGUGGCGAAGGCGGCCAGCUGGGCCAGGUCCGACGCUGAGGCGCGAAAGCGUGGGGAGCAAACAGGAUUAGAUACCCUGGUAGUCCACGCCGUAAACGAUGGGCACUAGGUGCCGGGGGGAGCGACCCCUUCGGUGCCGCAGCUAACGCGAUAAGUGCCCCGCCUGGGGAGUACGGCCGCAAGGCUG